rnacentral:sRNA from 1 species
AAAGACAAAAAUAAAAUAAAA